GAAGCUCUCCAAAGAAAAUAUUAACGUUUUUGGCGUUUGUUGUAUUGAAUAUAUUGUUAACAAGAUCAAUAAGCUCU
rnacentral:sRNA from 1 species